UUAAUUGAAGCCAAAAAGAGGCAUAUCACUGUUAAUGAUAUAAUUGAAUUUUAAAUUCCAAUUAAGCCA
rnacentral:tRNA from 1 species